GGAACCUGGAAUCUCUGAGAACGAGUGUCUCUCGCGCCUCUUCAAGGGUAUUUUAUGAAAAGAAAGGAGAAAUCACUGAAUUGCUCAGCAUAACAGAGGAAGAGGAAUUUUGAAUUUCCAUGCCUACUUCUGGAGAGAGCAGUUGAAGAACUCAAGAAAGGACAGGUAUAAGGAGAAACUGGGGCAAAAGAAGAGUCCCAAUAAUCAAGUACAUUAUGAGGAUCCUAUUAAGGGCUGAUGGCAAUAGCUCCUGUGGGAAAUGAAGGAAUUUUGGCAUCACCAAGCAGGAGGACGUGGCGUCCACCACAGAAGAUUCUGAAGAUUAACUGCAGCCCAGCAUGGCCUCUGCGUGCCUUGUGAGUUGGACCACUUCAGACCUCCUACUGUGCAUCGCAUGUGCUCACCAGAGGUGUGCCAUGGUGCUAAGUACCCAAGGACUGUACAAAUGGUCACCUAUGAUGCCUACAUGAGGAGGAGUCACCAUGGUCAGGCAGUUAAUGCAUGAGCUUUGGAAUCAGACAGACUGAGUUCAAAUACUGACUUUUCCACUCUCACGUGUGUAAUGAGGAAGGUU